GACGAACGCUGGCGGCGUGCUUAACACAUGCAAGUCGAACGGAAAGGCCCUGCUUUUGUGGGGUGCUCGAGUGGCGAACGGGUGAGUAACACGUGAGUAACCUGCCCUUGACUUUGGGAUAACUUCAGGAAACUGGGGCUAAUACCGGAUAGGAGCUCCUGCUGCAUGGUGGGGGUUGGAAAGUUUCGGCGGUUGGGGAUGGACUCGCGGCUUAUCAGCUUGUUGGUGGGGUAGUGGCUUACCAAGGCUUUGACGGGUAGCCGGCCUGAGAGGGUGACCGGCCACAUUGGGACUGAGAUACGGCCCAGACUCCUACGGGAGGCAGCAGAGGGGAGUAUUGCACAAUGGGCGGAAGCAUGAUGCAGCAACGCCGCGUGCGGGAUGACGGCUGUCGGGUAGUAAACCGCUUUCGCCUGUGACGAAGCGUGAGUGACAGUAAUGGGUAAAGAAGCACCGGCUAACUACGUG
rnacentral:rRNA from 1 species